CUGCCGAGCAGUCAAAAGUACGUCUGUUUGUCUCGAGGAAUAAAAAUAUUCGUCAGUGAUGUGCUUUACCAGUUUUUAAUAUACAUUAUGAUAGAUUAUUGAACGUCGUGUGAACAUCGACUAAAAUGAUGAAAGAAGUUACUUGAGGUACGUUUGAAGAGGUACGCACACACCAUACAGCUACAGAAACGUUUACAAUUGUGCGAAUGGGCCAUACGAAAACUACAAGACGAUGAAGUGUUCUUGAGUAAAAUAUUGUCAACGGAUGAGGUCACAUUUAGUAAAAACUAUGGAGCAUUUAAGCGUUGCAACAUUUACUACUGGUCAUAGUAAAAUAAUUGCUCCAUAUUUCAUUGAUGGCACGCUAAAUAGUUGUAAGUUAAAAAAAAAAGAAUAAAAGAAUCUUGGAAGAUGAUUUGUCAGAAUUAUUAGAGGACAUUUCACUGGAAAUACAAUUCGCGUGGCUCCAACCAAUCAACCAACCAAGUCACACAACUUAUUGAAAUUAUUGAACUUAUUGAAGCAGAUGAUACAGCAUACAACUUGUCGAACUUGUCGAACUUAUCGAGCUUGUCGAACUUGUCGAACUUGUUGAACUUGUCGAACUUGUCGAACUUGUCGAACUUAUGGUACUUGUCGAACUUAUGGAACUUAUGGAACUUAUGGACCUUGUCGAACUUGUCGAACUUAUGGACCUUGUCGAACUUGUCGAACUUGUCGAACCGAUGAAACUUGUCGAACCGAUGAAACUUGUCGAACGGAUGGAACUUGUCGAACCGAUGGAACUUGUCGAACCGAUGGAACUUGUCGAACCGAUGGAACUUGUCGAACCGAUGGAACUUGUCGAACCGAUGGAACUUGUCGGACUGAUGGAAUUUGUCGGACUGAUGGAAUUUGUCGAACUGAUGGAAUUUGUCGAACUGAUGGAAUUUGUCGAACUGAUGGAAUUUGUCGAACUGAUGGAAUUUGUCGAACUGAUGGAACUUGUCGAACUGAUGGAACUUGUCGAACUGAUGGAACUUGUUGGACUUAUGGAACUUGUUGGACUUCUGGAACUUGUUAGACUUAUGGAACCUGUUGGACUUAUGGAACUUGUUGGACUUAUGGAACUUGUUGGACUUAUGGAACUUGUUAGACUUAUGGAACUUGUUAGACUUAUGGAACUUGUUAGACUUAUGGAACUUGUUAGACUUAUGGAACUUGUUGGACUUGUUGCACUUGUUGGACUUGUUGCACUUGUUGGACUUGUUGCACUUUUUGGACUUGUUGGACUUGUUGGACUUGUUGAACUUUUUGCACUUAUUGAACUUGUUGGACUUGUUGGACUUGUUGCACUUGUUGGACUUGUUGGACUUACUGGACUUGUUGAACUUACUGGACUUGUUGAACUUACUGGACUUGUUGAACUUAUUGAAGCAGGUAUCCCACAAAGCUACGUUGUCGGGCCAGUAUUAUACAUGCUAUACACCGAAGAUAUUGUGGCCACAAUAUUUACAUCUGCAGAUGAUACAGCACACAACUUAUUGAACUUAUUGAAGGAGGUAUAGCACAAAGCAGCGUUGUCGGGUCAGUAUUAUACAUGCUAUACACUGAAGAUACUGAGGCCACAAUAUUUCCAUCUGCAGAUGAUACAGCAUACAACUUAUUGAACUUAUUGAAGCAGGCAUAGCACAAAGCAGCGUUGUCGGGCCAGUAUUAUACAUGCUAUACACUGAAGAUACUGCGGCCACAAUAUUUCCGUCUGCAGAUGAUACAGUAUACAACUUAUUGAACUUAUUGAAGCAAGUAUCCCACAAAGCAGCGUUGUCGGGUCAGUAUUAUACAUGCUAUACACUGAAGAUACUCAGGCCACAAUAUUUCCAUCUGCAGAUGAUACAGCAUACAACUUAUUGAACUUAUUGAAACAGGUAUAGCACAAAGCAGCGUUGUCAGGCCAGUAUUAUACAUGCUAUACACUGAAGAUAUUGUGACCACAAUAUUUACAUCUACACAUGAUACAGCAUACAACUUAUUGAACUUAUUGAAGCAGGUAUAGCACAAAGCAGCGUUGUCAGGCCAGUAUUAUACAUGCUAUACACUGAAGAUACUGAGGUCACAAUAUUUACAUCUGCAGAUGAUACAGCAUACAACUUAUUGAACUUAUUGAAGCAGGUAUAGCACAAAGCAUCGUUGUCGGGCCAGUAUUAUACAUGCUAUACACUGAAGAUACUGAGGUCACAAUAUUUACAUCUGCAGAUGAUACAGCAUACAACUUAUGGAACUUAUUGAAGCAGGUAUAGCACAAAGCAGCGUUGUCGGGCCAGUAUUAUACAUGCUAUACACUGAAGAUACUGAGGCCACAAUAUUUCCAUCUGCAGAUGAUACACCAUACAACUUGUUGAACUUAUUGAAGCAGGCAUAGCACAAAGCAGCGUUGUCGGGCCAGUAUUAUACAUGCUAUACACUGAAGAUACUGAGGCCACAAUAUUUCCAUCUGCAGAUGAUACAGCAUACAACUUAUUGAACUUAUUGAAGCAGGCAUAGCACAAAGCAGCGUUGUCGGGCCAGUAUUAUACAUGCUAUACACUGAAGAUACUGCGGCCACAAUAUUUCCGUCUGCAGAUGAUACAGUAUACAACUUAUUGAACUUAUUGAAGCAAGUAUCCCACAAAGCAGCGUUGUCGGGUCAGUAUUAUACAUGCUAUACACUGAAGAUACUCAGGCCACAAUAUUUCCAUCUGCAGAUGAUACAGCAUACAACUUAUUGAACUUAUUGAAACAGGUAUAGCACAAAGCAGCGUUGUCAGGCCAGUAUUAUACAUGCUAUACACUGAAGAUAUUGUGACCACAAUAUUUACAUCUACACAUGAUACAGCAUACAACUUAUUGAACUUAUUGAAGCAGGUAUAGCACAAAGCAGCGUUGUCAGGCCAGUAUUAUACAUGCUAUACACUGAAGAUACUGAGGUCACAAUAUUUACAUCUGCAGAUGAUACAGCAUACAACUUAUUGAACUUAUUGAAGCAGGUAUAGCACAAAGCAUCGUUGUCGGGCCAGUAUUAUACAUGCUAUACACUGAAGAUAUUGUGGCCACAAUAUUUACAUCUGCAGAUGAUACAGCAUACAACUUAUUGAACUUAUUAAAGCAGGUAUAGCACAAAGCAGUGUUGUCGGGUCAGUAUUAUACAUGCUAUACACUGAAGAUACUGAGGCCACAAUAUUUCCAUCUGCAGAUGAUACAGCAUACAACUUAUUGAACUUAUUGAAGCAGGUAUAGCGCAAAGCAGCGUUGUCGGGCCAGUAUUAUACAUGCUAUACACUGAAGAUAUUGUGGCCACAAUAUUUACAUCUGCAGAUGAUACAGCAUACAACUUAUUGUACUUAUUGAAGCAGGUAUAGCACAAAGCAGCGUUAUCGGGCCAGUAUUAUACAUGCUAUACACUGAAGAUAUUGUGGCCAGAAUAUUUACAUCUGCAGAUGAUACAGCAUACAACUUAUGGAACUUAUUGAAGCAGGUAUAGCACAAAGCAGCGUUGUGGGGCCAGUACUAUAUGAGCUAUACACUACCAUUAGAUAUUACUACUAUUAUUGUGGGUCCAAUAUUUACAUCUGUAGAUGAUACAGCAUACAACGUAUUGAACUUAUUGAACAUGUUGAAUUGUUAUUAGUUAUUGUUAUUAUUAUAAUUUGCUCUUAUUUGUUAUUGUUGCUGCUCUGAACAAUGUUAGUAUACAUAAAAGUAAUACCUACUAGCGGAAACUCUGAGCUAAACAUAAGCAAUAAGCGUGUUAUUUAUAAAACGUUUUGAAUCAAUGGGAUUGGCAUCAUUGGCACAUGCGGAGCGAGCAAAUAGGAAGCGAUCUUAUUAUCAAAGUACUAGAAGAGGAAAUCAAAUAUCAAUGCGUGAUAGGGCCUGAAAGCUAUCCUAGCGAUGUAGCAAUCUAUAUUCAGAAAACCUUGCUAGAGGACUACGCUGGACGCAUCCAAACGACGUCAUCUUCUCGGCAUAAAGAGUGUGUGCAUUAGAUAUGUAUUCUACUAAGGGAGCAUCUACGUGAUAAAUAUUUCAAACAUUGUCAAAUCAAUUUACCAAAUGUCCUUCCUGAACAAAUUCUAGUGCAUUGGAGUUAUUAAAAAAAAAAAAAGAAAAAAAUGUAUUCAUGUAUAGUCGUCAUUUCGAAGAUUUAUACCAACAUUGAUCUUGGCUAACUUUUUGCGUUGACGGCUCCAGCUAUA